GAAACUUAGGUUAAAUUUCAAACCAGGAGCCUUCAAAGCCCCAAAUAAGAGUUAAACUCUCCUAGUUUCUG
rnacentral:tRNA from 1 species